rnacentral:rRNA from 1 species
UAAACUAGGAUUAGAUACCCUAUUAUUUUAAAUGUUAAUUUUUAUACCAAAUUAGUAGUAGUUAUUUUCUUGAAAAUUAAAAAAUUUGGCGGUAUUUUAGUCUUUUCAGAGGAACCUGUCCUGUAAUUGAUAGUCCACGAUAAUAGGUACUUUUUUUAUUAAUUUGCAUAUCGUCGUAGUUUAAAUAUUUUAAUAGAAUAAUAAUAUUUAAAAUUUUUUAUUAAAAAAUAAAUCAGAUCAAGGUGUAGUUUAUAAAAAAGAAGAGAUGGGUUACAAUAAAUUUAUUUGUGGAUAAUUUUUUUUAAAAAAAUUUGAAUUUGGAUUUGAAAGUAAUUUUUUAAAUUUAUUUAAGAUGAUUUGAGCUCUAAAAUAUGCACACAUCGCCCGUCGCUCUUAA